rnacentral:rRNA from 1 species
GAUGAACGCUGGCGGCGUGCCUAAUACAUGCAAGUCGAGCGAAAAGACGAGGAGCUUGCUCCUCUGACGUUAGCGGAGGGCGGGUGAGUAACACGUGGAUAACCUACCUAUAAGACUGAGAUAACUUCGGGACACCGGAGAUAAUACCGGAUGAUAUAUUGAACCAUGUGGUUCAAUGGUGAAAGACGGUUUUGCUGUCUGUAAUAGAUGCAUACGCGCCGCAUUGGCUAGUUGGUAAGGUAACGGCUUACCAAGGCAACGAUGCGUAGCCGACCUGAGAGGGGGGUCGCCCACACUGGAACUGGGACACGGUCCAUACUCCUACGGGAGGCAGCAGUAGGGAAUCUUCCGCAAUGGGCGAAAGCCUGACGGAGCGAGCCCGCGUGUGUGAUGAAGGUCUUCGGAUCGGAAUGCCCGGUUAUGAGGUAAGAACAAAUUUGUAAGUAACUAUGCACUUCGUGACGGUACCGAAUCAGAAAGCCACGGCUAACUACGUG